rnacentral:lncRNA from 1 species
UUUCUUUUCCAGGGAAGUGGUGGUGAGUCACAUGAUAUUCAUAUUAACGUGGGACAAACAUAAUGCUAACUGAUCUAAGCUUAGGAAAGCCUGAAAGGACAAGACAAGCUUUAGAACAGGAGAAAACCUACAUAUUCUUGCCCCACAAGCCCAUAGAGUUGAUCUUCCUCAUCUUCUAGACCACAGUGCCCCACCAAGACCCACC